rnacentral:tRNA from 1 species
GGCUCUUUGGUCUAGGGGUAUGAUUCUCGCUUAGGGUGCGAGAGGUCCUGGGUUCAAAUCCCAGAUGAGCUC